AACGAACGCUGGCGGCAUGCCUAACACAUGCAAGUCGAACGAAGGCUUCGGCCUUAGUGGCGCACGGGUGCGUAACGCGUGGGAAUCUGCCCCUCGGUUCGGAAUAACAGUUAGAAAUGACUGCUAAUACCGGGUGAUGACUUCGGUCCAAAGAUUUAUCGCCGAGGGAUGAGCCCGCGUAAGAUUAGGUAGUUGGUGGGGUAAAGGCCUACCAAGCCGACGAUCUUUAGCUGGUCUGAGAGGAUGAUCAGCCACACUGGGACUGAGACACGGCCCAGACUCCUACGGGAGGCAGCAUUGGGGAAUAUUGGACAAUGGGCGAAAGCCUGAUCCAGCAAUGCCGCGUGAGUGAUGAAGGCCUUAGGGUUGUAAAGCUCUUUUACCAGGGAUGAUAAUGACAGUACCUGGAGAAUAAGCUCCGGCUAACUCCGUGCCAGCAGCCGCGGUAA
rnacentral:rRNA from 1 species